rnacentral:tRNA from 1 species
CCCGCGUUAGCUCAAUGGAUCAGAGCACCUGCUUACGAAGCAGGGGGUUGCACGUUCGAGUCGUGCACGUGGGGCCA